rnacentral:rRNA from 1 species
CAGUCGCCGCGGUAAAACGCAGGUGGCAAGCGUUGUCCGGAAUUAUUGGGCGUAAAGGGCUCGCAGGCGGUUUCUUAAGUCUGAUGUGAAAGCCCCCGGCUCAACCGGGGAGGGUCAUUGGAAACUGGGAAACUUGAGUGCAGAAGAGGAGAGUGGAAUUCCACGUGUAGCGGUGAAAUGCGUAGAGAUGUGGAGGAACACCAGUGGCGAAGGCGACUCUCUGGUCUGUAACUGACGCUGAGGAGCGAAAGCGUGGGGAGCAAACAGGAUUAGAUACCCCCGUAGUCCCUGUCUCUUAUAA